GAGUGGUUGGAGUGUCUUUGUUAGCUCUAAGAGGCUUGUUGCUGGAGAUGCCUUUAUUUUCUUAAGGGGAGAGAAUGGUGAACUGCGUGUUGGUGUUAGAAGAGCAAUGAGGCAGCAGAGCAAUGUUCCAUCUUCUGUCAUUUCCAGCCACAGCAUGCACCUUGGUGUCCUUGCCACUGCAUGGCAUGCUGUCAAUACAGGGACCUUGUUCACAGUCUAUUACAAGCCAAGGG
rnacentral:misc_RNA from 1 species